UACGUAGGGGGCAAGCGUUGUCCGGAUUUAUUGGGCGUAAAGAGCGUGUAGGCGGCCAGACAGGUCAGCUGUGAAAACUCGAGGCUCAACCUCGAGACGUCGUUGAAACCGUCUGGCUAGAGUCCGGAAGAGGAGAGUGGAAUUCCCGGUGUAGCGGUGAAAUGCGCAGAUAUCGGGAAGAACACCCGUGGCGAAGGCAGCUCACUGGGACGGUACUGACGCUGAGACGCGAAAGCGUGGGGAGCAAACAGGG
rnacentral:rRNA from 1 species